AUAAAAGCACGGGACUCCCACACAAAAUGGCGACCACAGCACGCAGCUGCCUCAAGGUAACAGGAGACCAACGCUGGGGCGACCUAGACAAAGGCCCAGGCAGCACGGCCUUGUCCAACACCCCAACCCUGACACAGCCCCAGCCCUUACCUCAGCAGCAGCAGAGCCCCCCAACACCGACCGCUCAAGAACCGGGACAGCCAGCAGGAGGCACCGCCGAGCUCCGCCCGAGGAGCAGCACGCUCAGUUCCAGCACAUGGCGGUGCCCGGAGGGGCCGUGAGGGGCUGCGCAGGGGGCAGCUCCGAGCUGGGCUUCGGGAACCUGCAACCGCGUCCGAGAGGUUUCUCAAAGGUAACAGAAUCCUGCUCCUUCUCCACCAUAAGGUCAUAGCUGCAAGGAACAGUUUCUGUGUAUGUGGGUAACCAGAAAGCUGAUGUCCCAUUAUGGUCAGUGACUUCAAAACCAUUCGGCAAACAUCCCUUGGCCAGUGUUUUUGAACUUCAGGCAUUGCUCUUUUUGGAGUCUGCAGGAAGAUGCAGACACUUCUGUCACAGAGGAUUCCAUUUUAGGUGCCUGAAGUAGACAUUCUGAUUCUGAUACCUGGGCCUUUAUAAUGUAUUGCGGCAUGGCAUCAGGCUGAAAGAUGGCUAGAGAAUACCACUUAUUGCAGUGCUGUCUUUCUAUUGGGUGUCUUUGCUCAUUGCUUCCUCAUCUCCUUCCCAAACUACCAAAAUGCUGGAUAGUUGGAAGGUGAAGUUCACUUGCCAUUUCCUUGGUUGGGAUGAUAGCUCUACAAAAGUGUAAAAUAAAGUUUGGCACAAUAAUAAGAAAAAGGAACAGUGCACAAUGAUAUUAUGUGCAAGCCUGUGGACAGAAAACAAAAUUGAUGAAUUUUCAAGGGCACUAGCCAUUUUUUUCCCUCCUCAAUCUGUCAGGAAAAAGUGCAACAGUAUUAGAGCUGUCAAGGAAUGGCCAGGCAAACAAGGAGAUCACUCAUCAGUGUCAGUGACAAGAUUCUGAAUUUGAUGGCAAAGCAACAGGACGAAUAAGGAUGACUUGAUAAUGGAAGUGCAUAAAUAGCACUUCAGGCAAUCAGAAAAGCACAUGGGAAUGACAAUGAGCUGCUGUCAGUAUACCUCCUCCGUGUUGAUGAGAGGGAGGAAGACCUGAAGGCUCAUAAUGACAAGCUUGAGAAGUGUUCCAGGCUAUGAGCUGCGCAGAAUCAAAUCCCCUGGAAAUAUGAAGGCCACAAAAUCGUCUUGAUGGUACCUACAUGCUUAAAAAGAAACAAACAAAAAACCUCAGUAUUUGGAGCAGUUCCUGGAAGGAGAAAACACAUGGACCCUAGGGCACCAAACUGGCAGCAGUGUAGAUGUCAAGGUUCAGCUAAUCUUUUGAAUUCUUGGCGCAAAUUCACUGGCUUAUACAGACAAUACCUUUAAUGUUUAUCUUGGAUACAGUACUUAUAAAUGUAAUCAUUUUAGCAUUAGAAAAUUUUCCUAAGUGAAGAGGUUCUGUGAUUUUGAUUUAAAGGAAUCAAUUUAAAGAUCUUGUAUGGACUGUUUAGCUAAAAAAAAAAAUGAUGCUGUCCUGUCAGAAUUAAAACCAACAGAAUAUUUUUCAAAGAAGUCAUGGUAUUUUCUUUAGGUUAUUAUAAUAUUGAACUGGCAUAUAGAAAAUAAGUUUGAAGAGGUGUUUUUUCAUCUGGUUUGGCCCAAUCUGACGAAAGUCCUCCAGUCCAGAGCAGGGACUUGAAUAUUUUUUUGCUGUGGAAGAAGCUAAUCCACACAAGACUAUACCUGCAUGUACCUAAACUGGACCACAACACCAAGAUCUGCGUUGCAGUUGGCAAUAUUGGAGCAUUGAGGCUGAACAAGUGAAUCAUAGCCUAGGAGACUGCAGGAAAAACUGUAGUUUAUUGAAGUGUUUAAGUACUUGUUGUCAACACAUUUCAUAAGUUUCUGAGAAGAAUUAUUCUUGAAUGGAAAGCCACACCCGGUACAUAAAUCUUAGUGUAAGCUCAACACUCCUGUAAUUCCUUGUAACUGCAGGAGGCAUGGCUCUGUUAACUUGAGAUCUUUCUGUCAUAGUGACCAUGUAAUGAUAACAUUUAACUGCAGAUAGUAGAUCAUUAUAUGCUAUUACAUUUUUGCAAUGUAUCACUCUAAUACUUUUGAUACAAGUGCUGGGAUUCAAGGUUUUAAUCCUAGAGCCAUGUGUAAUUUUGGAGGUGACCUUUGCUGUGACAGUAGCGUGGCAAGUGUUUUUGCAAGUAGACAUCCCUGAUAAGGAAGAGCUGAUGCUUCAAGGAAAUGUGCAAGGGAGAGUGGUGACAAACUAAAACCAACCACUGCAUUUCAUUCUGAGUUCAAGUGCAUUUGUUUUAACUUUUGAAUUGUGUUAUGUGGUCUUGAAUGUGGAGUCUGUUGAACAGUGUAGGCAUGAAAUGUUUUAUGUACCAAUUCACGGUACAGAAAAAUAAAAAAGUUGGAAUGAAGAAGACUGCUG